CUUAAGAGAAGAGGAGAGCAGAACACAGAUGGCCCCAAACAACCCUACUUCCUCCCCUUUCUGCAUACUUAAGAGGUAAAGAGGACAAGCCAGGAAUGUGAAAAGAAAAUCUGAUCGCUCCUAAAGCCCCAAAGGUCUUCUGGGAAGAAAAGAACUCCUCUUCUUCAGAACUCUUGCCUUCUCAACCCAACUCAACCCUUAGAUGGAGCCUCCAACAGCACCUGCUACCAUGGCAUCUUGAAUUCCGCUUCUCCAGACCAAGAAGCCUCUGUGACAUCAACCCUUAAUUAGUAACUGCUUCCAUAAGUUUACAGUCAGAUGCUGGACCACCGGCUCAGCUCAGACUGGCUGUCUGAAUUCCUACACGCCGUGUACUUAUUUUGGCAGGUCUACCAGGCACAUUUCCGAGAACCUGUCCUGCUUUCGUUUUCUUCUGCUCCCUUCUGUGACACAAACGUGUACAAGAUAGCACAUCUUAUGGUGUCGUCAUCAUCCUCACAACCUCUUUUUCUUUCCGAGUUGUAUCUACCACCUUUAUUCUGGGGUGCCACCCACAAAUGCUUACAAGUUUAAGUCUCCACAUCUCCAGUCUUAUUGUCUAAUCACCAUGUCAACUGUCACUAAACAAAAUUCAACUUUUCCCUCAAAUUUUACACAUGUGUCUCUUCUAACAUCUUCCACAGAUUUCUGGUGAUCACUGCUAUCUAUGAAGUAUGUAAAUCCCUAAGUUCCAGAGUCUGCUGUCAAGAGAGUCCCCUCGGUACAAAUG